rnacentral:piRNA from 1 species
UGUGAAAAUGUGUCCCCAGUCUUUA